GUAAUUGCAGGUUGCAGUGAUUUGUUCUUCUGGCUUGGGGAGGAAGCGUACAGACAGCAGAGGGAGAAGAUGAUACACCGAAAAUGGAGUCUACUAACUGGUCCAGUGGCAAUCUUGGGCGGGAUCGUUGCAACGGUGGUCGUCGCCAACUUAAUCUUCGUUAAGGAUGUAAAGUUCUCUUCUCUUUUCCUUCGAUUUCCAAACCCUAGAUUUUAUAUUUGAGUUUUGGUAUCGGGGGAAUCGAAGGAUGUAUUUUCAUUUAAGAUUUCGAUUGAAAUUAUUCAUUGGAAUGAUUUGCAUUCGGUUUUAUUCGUCAUUCUUAUAUCUAAAUCGUAGGAGACAUCUAAACCUUUUGGCUAUUCGAUCGUGUCUCUGAUCGUAAUCGUAAAAAUUAGAUUUGUUUAACUUAGUUGUGAAUUAAGAAUAACACUUUUUGAAUGAUUGUGGGAGCUAUCAUUCUUUGUUAAAAUAAAGAGCGUCGCUCUCUGUUUAACUUCUGUUCAAAAAAUAUUAAAUGGAAAAACCUGUUCUGUCAUUCUUUAGAUGUUGUUAAUUAUUAGCUAGGUAGUUGAGUUUCUUUGCUGCAAUGAAAGCGCCAGUAGAGCCAGUAAGCAACGUGCACACCUGCUACACAUUUUUUACUUGAACUAAUUUCUUUAGCUGGAUUAUUUCAUAAACUGCUAGUUAUUCAAACCAAAGCUUUUUAUGCAGGGCGUAACCAUACACAUGCUAACACAUUGCGAUAUAUUUGAAAUUUGCAGGACCCAUUUCUUAAACCAAAGAAAAAGAACCAAGAUUCACCACCAUCAACCAAAUAGAACAGAAGCAAAGUGAAUUGCUUAAUGGAUGUGUUGUAAGCUUUUCAGGUGGUUUGUGUUUGUUGAUUAUUUUUCUAGCGAAACAAAUGUUUAAGCUGCAUUUUGGUACAAGGCUCUUCUUAGUUCAAUAAAGUGGAGUUCAUGAUCAAGUUUAGUAAUUUCUCUUCAUUAUGUUCACCAAAUUGCUGUUGUUAAAUCUUGAUUGAGCUACCAUGAGAGCAAGAAAAAGCAAAAUUCAGCUGUUUUUCCUUGUUCAGUAAUGAUAAUUUUUGGGGUAGAUUGCCGAGUAGGAAUACUAUGAAUUUCUGCGUCGUGUUAGCGUAUAUCCACUUUUAAUUCAUCAAGAAUGGUUAUUAAUAAUUGAUAUGGUAAAUUUUAUUCUCUUAAAAAGAAAAAUCUUAGUAUCUUCUGGGUAUAUGAUUCACUGGUAAACGUUAUUAUUAUUAUUAUGAUUGCCUUUCAAUCCUGAGAAAGACUCCAACCCCCCUUUUCAUAGGCUGGAUGUAGCUAUUUCCACUACUCCAUGAUAAGCUUGCGUUUGAAUUAACCUUCACUGCGACAGGUGAUGAGUUGUGACUACGGUUAGGUGUGAAAAAAUAUCUUUCAUUUGACCAUCAAUGCAUGUGAUUUACAUAAAGUUAACACGUAAUUUUUCUGUAUGUUUCAGGGGAAAAUAAUCUAAGGAGUAAUUUUUCCUGAAGAAAAAGGGAAAGAGGUAAAAAUAUGAUGUAUAAACAAUGGUACAAUGAAAUAAUAUGCCCCAAAGAAUCACAAUCUCUCCCUUCACAUAUGCGAACUGCCUGGUGAGACAUUGGCAG
rnacentral:lncRNA from 1 species